GUGAGCAAGGGGGAAAAGAACGCCGAACCUUUCCUAUCCUCUGAGCCUCUCCCUCUCCCUCCUGACCCCUAAUUUCUCUCCCUCUCAAUCUGCCUGGAGGCAGAGAGCCGGCAGCAGCAUAGGCUACCUGGACUAGCGGCGGCGAACGGGAAGCAGUGCCACGACGACAAGGUCAAGAACUCCAGCGGCCACCUCCCCCACCGCAGGGAAAAGGAGAUCAAGCGGAUAUGGAUCCCCUUUUCCUCGCCUCAGCGUCGGCCAGGAGAAGGACGGCCUGUAUCUCCAGAUGUCCCGCCUCAACGUCAUGGAGGCCGGCCUGCUGAUGCCGCUCUCCUUCCGUGUCGGGGACGACGCAUGCCGGUCGUCACCUCACGCGCUUCUCUGCCCCACACCGCCGCCGGCUCUUGUUCUGACUCCUCUGUUGCGCCGCCUCCUCUGCGCCAGCACCGGGCAUCAUCUUCUUUCCCACUGUGGUCGCCUCAGCAGCAGCUGCAGCCGGAGGUCGUCGAGGGGGGAGGCGAACGAACAAGCAAGGCUACCGCCUCGAGAUAUACAAUGGGGUUCUCGCCCGCCUACGCGUCGACGCCGCCAUCCCGGCGGAGCUAUUGCUGGUCUUCUAGGACAUGCUCUGGGGUACUUUCGCCACCCGCUCGGUACACACUGGAUGUGAACGUGGUGAGUGCAGAGGACGUGGUGACGCACCACCAGCUGCUCGAGGUCGAAAAAGGAGAAGAAUAUGUUAGUGUGGUUCCAGUAAUAUUCAACCUUUUGUCAUGAAUAUAUUGAUGGGAUGUUAUCUAGAACCUUCGCAGUAUGAGGUGCAUCACUAACCUCUGAAGCAUAGCUUGUUUCGGUUAUAUAUGACUUGAAGAUCUGACUAGCCCGCCGUCCAUCACACACCAAGAGGUCUCAUGAACAACCUAUGUCCCCUCUGUGUUAUGCAAGUUAUGUGAGAUAUCAGUAUUCAAGCUAGAUUGUUUGCUAAAGGAUGGUUUAACCUUUCGAUGAGUAUGCAAAAUUGACGAAUUUAUUCAUACAGAUGGAGCUCAUUGCAAAAUUAAAGCGUCCUUACAUUGUGGAAUAGAAAUACUCUUGGGUGGUGAAGUGAUCCAGUUGAAGGAUUUGUAUGAUCCUGAAUGAAUUCUUUUUUGGUGUUAUCAGGGUGCUAUGUGUGCUUUUGUGACCGGCUACUGCAGGGGAGGAGACAUCUAUGUAGCUUGUGAAGUAAGCUCUCAGUUGUAUUUGAACCGUAAUGAAAUUGUGGUUAUUUUUGCUUCAUUGUAUAGAUUAGAGGCCAUUAAAAGGUCUAACGCCCAACCACUUCCUAGAAGAGGUGGUUAGUUUGUCUGUAAUAUGUGAUGUUCCUGCAAUUUCUGAUUAUUGAAAACUUUGACUCCUUGUUGUGUCCA